rnacentral:rRNA from 1 species
UACGUAGGGUGCAAGCGUUGUCCGGAAUUAUUGGGCGUAAAGAGCUCGUAGGCGGUGUGUCGCGUCUGCUGUGAAAACUCAGGGCUCAACUCUGAGCUUGCAGUGGGUACGGGCACACUUGAGUGCUGUAGGGGAGACUGGGAUUCCUGGUGUAGCGGUGAAAUGCGCAGAUAUCAGGAGGAACACCGGUGGCGAAGGCGGUUCUCUGGGCCUUACCUGACGCUGAGGAGCGAAAGCGUGGGGAGCGAACAGG